CGCUGGCCGCGGCGGGCAAAUUCCGCGCCGAUCUGCUGGAUCGGCUGGCGUUCGACGUGGUGCAGCUGCCGCCGCUGCGCCAACGGC
rnacentral:tRNA from 1 species